rnacentral:rRNA from 1 species
AAAGUCAUUGAUCCUAUGCUGCCUAGAAAAGCCCAGCAGCGAGUUGACAUGGUGCCCGUACCCCAAACCAACACAGGUGGACAGGUAGAGCAUACCAAGGCGAGUGGGAUAACUAUGGUUAAGGAACUCGGCAAAUUGCCUCCGUAACUUCGGGAGAAGGAGGACCCCAGUAGCGUGAUGAGACUUGCUCUCUGAGCGUGAAGGGGUGGCACAAAAUUGAGGGAAGCGACUGUUUACCAAAAACACAGCAGCGUGCUAAGCCGUAAGGCGCUGUAUACGCUGUGACUCCUGCCCGGUGCUGGAAGGUUACGGGGAUGGGUUAGUCCUUCGGGACGAAGCUCUGAACCUAAGCCCCAGUAAACGGCGGCCGUAACUAUAACGGUCCUAAGGUAGCGAAAUUCCCUCGGGUAAGUUCCGACCUGCACGAAUGGAGUAACGACUUCCCUACUGUCUCAACCAUAGACCCAGCGAAAUUGAAGUACGAGUAAAGAUGCUCGUUAGCUGCAGAAGGACGGAAAGACCCCGUGGACCUUUACUAUAACUUGAUGUUGUGUUUUGUCAUAUGUUGUGUAGCAUAGGUGGGAGACUUGGAAGCAUGGACGCUAGUCUGUGUGGAGUCAUCGUUGAAAUACCACCCUGCAUAUGGUGAGGCUCUAACCUAGACCCGUUAUCCGGGUUGGGGACAGCGUCAGGCGGGUAGUUUAACUGGGGCGGUUGCCUCCUAAAGAGUAACGGAGGCGCCCAAAGGUUCCCUCAGCCUGGUUGGCAAUCAGGCGUUGAGUGCAAUGGCAAAAGGGAGCUUGACUGCGAGACCUACAAGUCGAGCAGGAGCGAAAGCUGGGCAUAGUGAUCCGGCGGUUGCGUGUGGAAGCGCCGUCGCUCAACGGAUAAAAGGUACCCCGGGGAUAACAGGCUAAUCUUGCCCAAGCGUCCAUAGCGACGGCAAGGUUUGGCACCUCGAUGUCGGCUCAUCGCAUCCUGGGGCUGAAGCAGGUCCCAAGGGUUGGGCUGUUCGCCCAUUAAAGCGGUACGCGAGCUGGGUUCAGAACGUCGUGAGACAGUUCGGUCCCUAUCCCCUGCAGCCGGAGGUGAAUUGAGGAAAGCUGUCCCUAGUACGAGAGGACCGGGACGGACGCAGCUCUCGUGUGCCAGUUGUCCUGCCAAGGGCAUGGCUGGUUAGCGACCUGCGGAAAGGAUAACCGCUGAAAGCAUCUAAGCGGGAAGCCUCUUCCAAGAUGAAUUCACCCACAGGGUUAACCUGGUAAGGCCCGUGGUAGACCACCACGUUGAUAGGCCGGAAGUGUAAGCGUGGCAACACGUUCAGCUGACCGGUACUAAU